GAGUUUGAUCCUGGCUCAGGAUGAACGCUGGCGGCGUGCCGCUUUAACACAUGCAAGUCGAACGAUGACUCUGUGCUUGCACAGAUGAUUAGUGGCGAACGGGUGAGUAACACGUGAGUAACCUGCCCUUAGUGACUCUGGGAUAAGCCUGGGAAACUGGGUCGGAUUAAUACUGGAUAUGCACCGUGGACCGCAUGGUUCUUGGUGGAAAGAUUUUAUUGGUCAAGGAUGGACUCGCCGGGGCCUAUCAGCUUGUUGGUCCCGAGGUAAUGGCUCACCAAGGCGACGACGGGUAGCCGGCCUGAGAGGGUGACCGGCCACACUGGGACUGAGACACGGCCCAGACUCCUACGGGAGGCAGCAGUGGGGAAUAUUGCACAAUGGGCGAAAGCCUGAUGCAGCGACGCCGCGUGAGGGAUGACGGCCUUCGGGUUGUAAACCUCUUUCAGUAGGGAAGAAGCGAAAGUGAGCAACGGUACCUGCAGAAGAAGCGCCGGCUAACUACGUGCCAGCAGCCGCGGUAAUACGUAGGGCGCAAGCGUUAUCCGGAAUUAUUAAGUGGGCGUAACUCAGAGCUCGUAGGCGGUUUGUCGCGUCUAUCGUGAAAGUCCGAGGCUCAACCUCGGAUCUGCGGUGGGUACGGGCAGACUAGUGGGGAGUGAUGUAGGGGGACAGACUGGAAUUCCUGGUGUAGCGGUGAAAUGCGCAGAUAUCAGGAGGAACACCGAUGGCGAAGGCAGGUCUCUGGGCAUUAACUGACGCUGAGGAGCGAAAGCAUGGGGAGCGAACAGGAUUAGAUACCCUGGUAGUCCAUGCCGUAAACGUUGGGCACUAGGUGUGGGGGACAUUCCACGUUUUCCGCGCCGUAGCUAACGCAUUAAGUGCCCCGCCUGGGGAGUACGGCCGCAAAUGGGCUAAAACUCAAAGGAAUUGACGGGGGCCCGCACAAGCGGCGGAGCAUGCGGAUUAAUUCGAUGCAACGCGUCUAAGAACCUUACCAAGGCUUGACAUGUGCUAGAUCGCCAUAGAAAUAUGGUUUCCCCUUUUGGGGCUGGUUCACAGGUGGUGCAUGGUUGUCGUCAGCUCGUGUCGUGAGAUUCAGGUUGGGUUAAGUCCUUCCGCAACGAGCGCAACCCCUCGUUCUAUGUUGCCAGCACGUGAUGGUGGGGACUCAUAGGAGACUGCCGGGGUCAACUCGGAGGAAGGU
rnacentral:rRNA from 1 species